AGCUGCUCGGCCAGCCCGCGUUUGGCUUGGCCCGCUUAAGGCGAAAUGUGGUAAUCUUGUAUUCCCUCAGGCUCCCUUCUGGUACGGAAGAAGCAGAAGACCUAGACGACCUGAUUGCUUUAAUACUUUUACUGCUUGGAUGUCAUGCUUUGAGGCCGAUGCACUCACCUGCAAGGUUACAGUCCCUGCUCUGUGAGGCUGCUCCUUCCUUAGUGCUGUCUGCUUCCGUUUGGCUGUGUUUUAAAACAUGCAGGUCCCAUAAAGUAAGUUGAGAAAACUAUAAAGAUUACUCCCUGUGAGCAGUCUUUUAUCUUUGCAUUUAGCAAUUAUUUA
rnacentral:lncRNA from 12 species